rnacentral:rRNA from 1 species
GGAGUCUAGCAUGUGCGCGAGUCAUUGGGACUCUAGCGAAACCUAAAGGCGAAAUGAAAGUGAACGUCUGCCUUAGCGCGGACGGAGGGAGGAUGGGUCGCGCUGCGUCGCGGCCCCGCACUCCCGGGGCGUUUCGUUCUCAUUGCGAGAAGAGGCGCACCCAGAGCGUACACGCUGGGACCCGAAAGAUGGUGAACUAUGCCUGGUCAGGACGAAGUCAGGGGAAACCCUGAUGGAGGUCCGUAGCGAUUCUGACGUGCAAAUCGAUCGUCGGAACUGGGUAUAGGGGCGAAAGACUAAUCGAACCAUCUAGUAGCUGGUUCCCUCCGAAGUUUCCCUCAGGAUAGCUGGCGCUCGCUUUUGCGAGUCUCAUCCGGUAAAGCGAAUGAUUAGAGGCAUUGGGGUCGAAACGGCCUCAACCUAUUCUCAAACUUUAAAUGGGUGAGAACUCCGGCUUGCUCGAACUAGAAGCCGCGAGUUUGUACGUAGUUUUACGAUCACGGAUCAGAGUGCCAAGUGGGCCACUUUUGGUAAGCAGAACUGGCGCUGUGGGAUGAACCAAACGCAGAGUUAAAGCGCCUAAAUCGACGCUCAUGGGAUACCAUGAAAGGCGUUGGUAACUUAAGAC